UUGGAGCAAAGGUUGAGAAAGUGGAAGCGAAUUUCGCAGUAUGAGCAUCGAUAGCCCCGGGCGAGGGGAGAACUAGGGUUUCGAGUAAUUUGGUUGCAGAAGGGAUUUCCAUGGGUGAUGGAGGUGUCGCAUGCAUGCCUUUGCAGCAUAAUAGUAUCAUGGAGAGAUUUCCAAUUCAAGAAAAUACGACAACCCUUUGCAGUGGGGGCAAACCUGGCAACACCACCACCACCGCCCGACCGGUACCAGCAACAACAACAGCAACAACAACAACAACAGCAAUGGCAACAGUACCGCCAAUGGCUUCAACUCAAAGCCCAAGAAAGUUUUGAAGAAGGUAAUUAAGGUCAAAAAGAUUGUUACAGUGAAGAAAACAGUGGCAGAGAAGAGUGAAUUGGGAUCAGAGAAAGCAGUAAAGUUUAGCAAGGAGAAGGAAGCAAAUAUUAGCAAGGAGAAGGAAGCAAAGAUAAGCAAAGAUGUGGUGGCAAAGAGUAGCAAGGAAUAUGAGGCAAAGAUUAGCAAGGAAGCUGACAAUGGUUCGAGUUCUGUUGAUAACAAGGUGCAGAUUACUAAAGAGGAGGUUGAAGAGGGUGAAUUGGGAACUUUAAAAUGGCCACCGAAAGCAGAAGUUGAGAACGGAGAGAUUGUUCCACCAGAGAAGGCGAGGAGAAAUGAAAUUGAGAAGGGAGAGAUUGUUGGUGAGAAAUGGAGGAAAGGGGAUAUGGAGAAGGGUGAGGCUGUUUUGGGUUCGGGCAGAUGGCGAAAAGGGGAAUUUGGCAGAGAUGAGAUUGAGAAAGGAGAGUUCAUUCCAGACAGAUGGCAUAAUAAAGACGAUUACAGUUACAAUAAAUACCGUGGCAGGUACGACACCAGCG
rnacentral:misc_RNA from 1 species